rnacentral:sRNA from 1 species
UUUUUGCGUUAGGGAUAGAAACGAUAUUCUUUUUUAUUCUUCAUAAAAAAGAUUUAGUAGAUAGCCCGCCCAUUG